rnacentral:tRNA from 2 species
UCCUCAAUAGCUCAGUUGGUAGAGCGCAUGACUGUUAAUCAUGAUGUCGUUGGUUCGAGUCCAACUUGGGGAG